UGGGGCGGAGGUGGGGCGACCUGUCAAUCCGUCUCGGUUGCCUGGGGAGCGCCGGACUUUACGUCCCACAGUGAUCUAGUAGAGAUACGUCUGUUAUGAAACUGAUUUUGCUUCAGAAUGACUUCCCAACUCGAAGCAGACCGAGAACGAUAAACGUUUUGUUGUUGCAAAGAAAUAGGUAGUUCAAUCCCUUCACUUCACAGAAAACUCCAACCCAGCCUUCAAGACCUGGUGCAAGCAUCCUUCAUCUUGUGAAGUUUUCCCUGCCCCCCUCUGGCACCCACCCAGACACAGCCAAGAAGAGCCAUGGUCUGGAACAAUCGAGGGACUCCCAACUUCUGCAGAUUUCUACACCAAACGACACCAAGGCUGACCUGCAGCAGGAAGUGGUUCCCCGUCACCCUGUG